UACGGAGGGGGCUAGCGUUGUUCGGAAUCACUGGGCGUAAAGGGCGCGUAGGCGGUGGACCAAGUCAGGCGUGAAAGCCCCGGGCUCAACCUGGGAACGGCGCUUGAGACUGGGCCACUCGAGUUCGGGAGAGGAUGGUGGAAUUCCCAGUGUAGAGGUGAAAUUCGUAGAUAUUGGGAAGAACACCGAGGGCGAAGGCAGCCAUCUGGACCGACACUGACGCUGAGGCGCGACAGCGUGGGGAGCAAACAGG
rnacentral:rRNA from 1 species